rnacentral:rRNA from 1 species
UGGGGAAUAUUGGACAAUGGGCGGAAGCCUGAUCCAGCAACGCCGCGUGAGGGAUGACGGCCUUCGGGUUGUAAACCUCUUUCAGUACCGACGAAGCGGAAGUGACGGUAGGUACAGAAGAAGCACCGGCCAACUACGUGCCAGCAGCCGCGGUAAUACGUAGGGUGCGAGCGUUGUCCGGAAUUAUUGGGCGUAAAGGGCUCGUAGGCGGUUUGUCGCGUCGGGAGUGAAAACACUGGGCUUAACUCAGUGCUUGCUUCCGAUACGGGCAGACUAGAGGCAUGCAGGGGAGAACGGAAUUCCUGGUGUAGCGGUGAAAUGCGCAGAUAUCAGGAGGAACACCGGUGGCGAAGGCGGUUCUCUGGGCAUGUCCUGACGCUGAGGAGCGAAAGUGUGGGGAGCGAACAGGAUUAGAUACCCUGGUAGGUCCACACCGUAAAACGUUGGGCGCUAGGUGUGGGGCCUAUUCCCAUGGGUUCCGUGCCGCAGCUAACGCAUUAAGCGCCCCGCCUGGGGAGUACGGCCGCAAGGCUAAAAACUUAAAUGAAUUGACGGGGUCAUAGCUGUUUCCU